rnacentral:rRNA from 1 species
UACGUAGGGGGCAAGCGUUGUCCGGAUUUAUUGGGCGUAAAGAGCGUGUAGGCGGCCAGGUAGGUCCGUUGUGAAAACUGGAGGCUUAACCUCCAGCUGUCGAUGGAAACCAUCUGGCUAGAGUCCGGAAGAGGAGAGUGGAAUUCCUGGUGUAGCGGUGAAAUGCGUAGAGAUCCGGAGGAACACCGAAGGCGAAGGCAGUGUCCUGGCGAGUGACUGACGCUGAGGUGCGAAAGCCAGGGGAGCGAACGGG